UAUUAGGUCGACCAACUGGUCUUUAUAUACAUAUGGUAAUGACGGUUUAAGUACUAGAUCGACAUGAGAUCGUACUUAUCCUUAACUAGAUAAUGACUAGCAAUACGUAAGAUAAACAUCAACUAUAAUGUAGAUAAACACAAGAGUAGAUAGGCGCCAGUAUGAUUCUGCGGAUGGGCUUGGCCCGUCAUGCUACACGGGUUGAUAAAUGGGUCGAUCACUAAAUGGUUUAUAACAAAUAAUAUAUUAUAUGAUUGUUAUGUGUUAUAGUUUUUUUGGGGAUCGUAGACUUCAAGAAUGUUUUUAUUUUCUUGCUAUGCUUGUUUCAAAACUAAAUAUUAGUGUCAUUGUUGGUCUCAUACCUUGUAGGAAAAACAAAGGAGAUAUAAAAAGAGAAGGAAAGAUAGAAUAUCAAGCUUUUUUUUUUUUAAAGAUAGAAUAUCAUAGAUGUUUCAACUUCAUUGGUAUGGUAUCUAUAGACAAAUAGUCAAAUACCAUACUGAAUUUAUCAACAUGGUGUUUUAUAAAGUCCAAUAAUAUAUUUUACAUACAUUAGAAAGGCCAAAGAACAAAAAAUACAUUAGAAAGAAAAGAGUUCGACUUGGACCUUUGGAUUUGAUUUAUCAUUUUUGAACUUAUUUUAUUGUCUUUGAUGCAAAACCGUACCGAAAUCAUAAGUUCAUAAUCACAAA
rnacentral:lncRNA from 1 species